UAUUAUAUGCUUUUAAUGUUAUACUUAAUUUUAUUUCAUAAUUAGCAUUGUCUCUGCUCAAGGAUGACACACAUAAAUUGAGAAAUGAUCCAAAUUUUU